AACGAACGCUGGCGGCAUGCCUAACACAUGCAAGUCGAACGAGGCCUUCGGGUCUAGUGGCGCACGGGUGCGUAACGCGUGGGAACCUGCCCUUAGGUUCGGAAUAACUCCCCGAAAGGGGUGCUAAUACCGGAUAAUGUCUUCGGACCAAAGAUUUAUCGCCUUUGGAUGGGCCCGCGUUGGAUUAGCUAGUUGGUAGGGUAAAAGCCUACCAAGGCGACGAUCCAUAGCUGGUCUGAGAGGAUGAUCAGCCACACUGGGACUGAGACACAGCCCAGACUCCUACGGGAGGCAGCAGUGGGGAAUAUUGGACAAUGGGCGAAAGCCUGAUCCAGCAAUGCCGCGUGAGUGAUGAAGGCCUUAGGGUUGUAAAGCUCUUUUACCCGGGAUGAUAAUGACAGUACCGGGAGAAUAAGCUCCGGCUAACUCCGUG
rnacentral:rRNA from 1 species